UGCUGGCUGCCGCCGCCGCCGCCGCUCGCUGGACGAGUUGUUGUUGUCACACGGUGCGGAGGGGAGGAGCUCCGGCAACUUGAAAUACCCUUUGAAGCAGCAAAAGGCUCACUCACUAGUAUUAACCCAAAUUAUCCAACCAGGAACCCGGAGCAGGAAAACAGAGAGAGAGAGGGAGAGAAGUCCCUCUUCCCCCCCCCCCCCCCCCCCCCCUUCAGGAACCGUUAGAUUACAUGUUUCAUAUUUCACCCCACCAGAGACGAGAUGUAAUUUUCCCAGCCCUUUUCAGCAGUCGCUUGUCAACACAGUUUGUGGAGAAACACGAGCGUCUCCAGCGUUCCCCCGCAGCCGGGCGGGAGCGGGGAAGCCGGGGCGCGGGGCGGGCGCUGGCCGCACACCUUGCCGGGGCCGGGGAGAGGGGGCACCCGCCGACAAAAGCGGAGACCUCCGGAGGGGGCUGCUGUGCCGCCGCUGCCGCCGCUGCCGUUCGCCCGGGACCGCAAACGCUCCCCCCGGCGGGGUGCGAGUUGCUGCCGAGGGUCCGGCGGCAGCGCCGAGGCCCCUUUGUUGCUGCGCGGGGGGCGCAAGGGCAGCCCCACGCGGCAGCAUCUGCCGCGGCCCUCCCUGCGAGCGGGCGCUGCGGGUCACGCCGUCGAGUAAACCGCGGGGGGGGGGGGGGGGGGGGCUGCGGCGGCACCGAAGUAACUUAGGAGAGGGGAAGGCGCCCGCCCCGCCCCGCGCAGGUACCGCCGCGCAACAGGUGGUGGCGGCGCCGCGCAAAAGCCGCGCAGCGGCGGCUCGCGCCUUCCUCCCCGACCCCCCCGCCGCCAGGUAGCGCGGAAAGUCAGCUGGUGCGCUUGCCCACGCAUGCGCAGUGGCGCAGGCGGCGGGACGUGCCUCGGCUGGCGUGGCCGGGCCCCGCGCGUGGCGUGGGACCUGCCCGCCGCCCGCCUCCGCGGUGGGAGUUUUAAGGCGCGUUUGGCAGCUGGCGUGCGUGGGGUCCGUCGGGAAAGCCGGGAGCUUUGUUCUGCUUCUCUCGAGGGCACUUCGCCUUUUUAAAGGGAAAACCAACUCUGUCCAUAUUUUCUUUGCCUCAACUAUCCUUUUGCAUCUCACCUUCUCUUACACCUCGUGAAGACAGAACAGAUCCUCAAGAAGAUCAGGACAGAGCCAGACACGCGUGAUACUGCCACUUGGAGAUCUGAGUGAACUCUGAAUUAGGAAACCUGCCAUUUCAUUUAUUCUCUACCUUCCCUACAACAUGAUGCACACCAGCCCUUCUUCUUUUCCUCUUGCUGUGUGCCCUCACGGAUACAUAAUCCUCAUGGUUCAAAACCAUAUAAAGAAAAUGUAGUUUGAAAGGGUUUACUACCACAGGUUUGGGUUAACUUUGAUCAUUUCAGUGCCACAAUGGGAUUAGAAACCUAGAAAAAAAGAGAUUUAUGAAAAGGUUCAAGACUCCUCAAAGCUUCUGGCUUGGGUCUCGAGCAGCAAUCCUCCUUUCAGGAGCUAUCUGUUACUUAGAGGGAAGACUGAGAAAGAGGGAGGGACCUCAUACUGAAUCCCCCCUGCAUCGCUCAGGAAAAUAGACUCAUAGAAAUGUAAGUCUGUGAAUUGGGAUCCUUUUUUUUCCCCUUCCACCAAAAUACUUACUAAACAUUGAAAACACGAUGAAUACAGUUGAGAUUGAAGUGUUGUACCAGUAAUAAGAAACUGGAUGCUGCAGUGCUGUUUUUCUAAUUGUUGCAUUAUAGUCAAACUAGCACAGACCUUGUCCAAUACAAAUACAAACUGGAUUCCUUUCAGUGACAGGACAAGUAGAUAACAUGCUUAAUAGAUACAAAGGGAGAUUUACCAUUCCAAGCACGAUGUCACGCUAAUUAUGUUUACUCUAAUUGAAAGCAAGGUUUGGGGGAACCUGAAAGUACUCAUAGGAUAUUUUUAAUAACUGAAUAAUAAUAAAGUGCAGCAAACGU